rnacentral:rRNA from 1 species
UAGGGUUUGAUCCUGGCUCAGGACGAACGCUGGCGGCGUGCUUAACACAUGCAAGUCGAGCGAUGAAGUUUCUUCGGAAAUGGAUUAGCGGCGAACGGGUGAGGAACACGUGAAGAAUCUGCCCUCCACUUUGGGAUAACACCGGGAAACCGGUGCUAAUACCGAAUAUUGAAACAUAAGUGGCAUCACUGAGUUUUGAAAGAAUUUCGGUGGAGGAUGACUUCGCGGCCUAUCAGCUAGUUGGUGAGGUAAUGGCUCACCAAGGCAACGACGGGUAGCCGGCCUGAGAGGGCGACCGGCCACACUGGGACUGAGACACGGCCCAGACUCCUACGGGAGGCAGCAGUGGGGAAUAUUGGGCAAUGGAGGAAACUCUGACCCAGCGACGCCGCGUGCGGGAUGAAGGCCUUCGGGUUGUAAACCGCUUUCAGUAGGGAAGAAGCGAAAGUGACGGUACCUACAAAAGAAGCACCGGCUAACUAUGUGCCAGCAGCCGCGGUAAUUC